AUGUGGACCUGUCUUCGUCAGCGCUAUGAGCCCUCUGGUGAUGCCUUAUACCUUUCUGUGGUUCGUCAGGAGCAUGCUCUUCAGCAGGAUGACUCUACUGUUGAUGACUUUUAUGCACAGAGUUCUGCUAUCUGGCGCCAGCUUGAUUCUCUCCGCAGUGCUGGUUGUCGUACUUGCCCCUGCUGCCAGGCCGUCCAGGCCAAUUUGGAGUUUCAUCGCGUCUACGAGUUCCUGUCUUGGCUCCGUAAGGAGUUUGAGCCCCGGCGUGCUCAGUUGUUUGCUCGUGGCCGUAUUUCUCUCAUGGAGGCGCUUUCAGCGAUUCGUGCUGAGGAGACUCGCUUACGUGGUGCUGGUUUGCUGGAGGUUCCCUCUGUGCUCGCUAAUCGGGCUUCUUCCACUCCACCUGCUGCACCGCCCCAUUCUCGCUCGAGUGCUCCGCCGCUCUUGCCCACUCCUUUUGGAGGCUCAGGUCGCCCCCGUCCACAUUGUGACUACUGCAACAAUGAUGGUCAUAUUGAGUCCCAGUGCUACACAAAGCGGAAACACCUGCGCAAGGCGCGAUCAUCCUCCUGA
rnacentral:rRNA from 1 species